GGCGACGUCGCCGCGGCCCCUUGCGGGCUGGCGCGGCGUAGACUGGAGCUCCGGGCACUUCUUUAAAAGGGGGAACGGCGCUGUGUUAGGCGGAGUGCGGAGCUAGAAGGGGGCGGUCGGAGCGCGAGCUGUCAACUCUGGCGCCUCCCGGCUCCGCCCCGAGGCUCCGAAGUGACAGGUGGAAUAGCAGCCCGGGCUUCGGACCUCAGGCCUCAGUUUAUUCUGUGGGAGGGGACGGGCUUUCCUGGCAGGACAUAUCAUACAACUAUUCCAUGGUGAAUUAUUCUUAACGAUUCCAGGUGAGGCCAAUACAAAGCUUCCUUCACUCCCCUUUCCUGAAUGCACUCCAUAUUGCUUCUCCAUAUUUCUGUUGCAAAUUAAAUGCCUUUCUUCUUGCUUGGUUCCCAGUGGAGUGGGAAAACAGCAUGUCAUUCUUCUGUACCAAAGAAUAAUAUACUUGAAGCCUUUAUUCAAUUCCUCUCACUCUAUCUUCUCUAAACCAAACAGUGCCAGAUUCUUUAACCUGUCAUCAAUAAUGUCUAUUUAUUAUCUGGAUUUACAUAGUGUCUUUUACCCCAGGAACUAAGAAUGCUUUCAGAUAUAAUUGAGCCUGAUCUCCCUGGUGCCUGAGCCAUUAAGAAACCAUUAGUGUUCUCCUGUUGCAGAAAACUAAAUGGCCCCCUAGUGGCCUGAAAGUGAAUAUGCCUCCCCCCACUAAGAACCAGGCAGGGAUCAGAGAAAUCAGAGAAUCCAGGCAGCUUGGGGAUAGAAUGGGCCCAGAAGGUCAUCUUUUGUGAAUACCCCUGUGGACCCUAGAGCCUCCUCCACAAAAUCCCUGGGGAGCACUCAGCAGCGUCAGUCCAAAGACCAUCUGGGAUGGUGGCAUACUUAUUGUUUGCUCCCUGAGGCAGCCCUUUUUGGCUUUGCAAAGUUCUGAC
rnacentral:lncRNA from 1 species